GGCAUGGGCCGAUCUACACUGUGAAUUGAUGAUCAUGGAUAUCUUCUGAAGGUCUCUUGAAAUAGUAUAAGUGUCCGAUCUCUAUGGAUAUCCACAUGAGACUUCGAUCUGAUCAGAAGCUUUUUGAUUUCACUGGGGUGCUAGCUCCCUUGCAGAGAUCAUAUCUUGACGGUUGAAAAAUCUUCUUUUCUCUCAAGACAAUCUUAGAGAAGAAAAAAAAUAGGAGGAUGAUGAUCUCUACGUUAGAGAUCAUAAGAAGAACCCUUUCUCUUUUCUUCCUAAAAUUUAUGCACCAAAUCUCUACGCUAGAGAUGUAAAAAUUUUUGUCCAACUUUUAGAUAAAGAGAAGAGAAAAAAUUCAUGUCCAAACUAUAACAAAAGAGAAAGAAGAGGACCUAACAACCAACCUUUGGUUGUUGGUAAGAAAGAAGGGAUAGAAGCAACCACCUUACCUCAUGCCCUCCACCUCCAUGCCGCGCCCUCUCCCUUUAAUUUUUUCAUGCAUACAUCCUCUAAUUUUUUAGCAUCAAAAUUUGAUCAUCAUCAGCCAUCUAAUGCCUCAUAAGGUCCCUUGUUUAAAUAGAAAGAGAGGAUAGGGUUUAGGUGAGAAGAUAAGAGUCCAAACUCCCUUGGACUCUAUAUUUUUUAUGCCGCCCAAUAUCUUCUCCUUUUUCACCCAGGUUUCUCAUGGAAAUAGGAGUUUAGGAGAG
rnacentral:lncRNA from 1 species